CAGUGAGAGACAGAGAAACUAAUUCAUUAGCCUUUUAUAUGGAGGGAAUUAGGGUGGUUAUAUUUAAAGAGAACGGUACUUUCUCACAGGAAUACUGACUCUUUAUUAGCUGAUGAAGGCAGUGACUUUGAAGAUAGCUUCAAUCGCAAUGUGAAGAAGAAAGCAGCAAAACGACCACCGAAAACAACACCGGUGGCAAACAACGAAAGAAAGGGUCCCGAGUGGUACAUCGUCAUAGCCGGAAACAGUCAGAGCCACCAGCCAAUGAUCUUUUCAAUGCUGUGAAAGCUGCCAAAAGUGACAUGCAGGUGCUGCCCGACGCCCCAUGGGGAGUCCCUCAGCUGUCCCACCAGAGACAGAGCUGCAAGGGGGCCUGGCAGGUGUCAGGCCACACUGGGCUGGACGGGG
rnacentral:lncRNA from 1 species